CCAGCAGCUGCGGUAAUUCCAGCUCCAAUAGCGUAUAUUUAAGUUGUUGCAGUUAAAAAGCUCGUAGUUUGAUUUCGGGCGGGUGACGGCGGUCCGCCUCUGGUGUGCACUGCUGCUCAUCCGCCUUACUGUCGGGGACGGGCUCCUGGGCUUCACUGUCCGGGACCCGGGUUCGACAUGGUUACUUUGAGGAAAUUAGAGUGUUCCAAGCAGGCAUUUGCCCUGUAUACAUUAGCAUGGAAUAAUAAUAUAGGACUUCGGUUCUAUUUUAUUGGUUCUGGACCGAAGUAAUGAUUAAUAGGGACAGUCGGGGGCAUUCGUACUCAACAGUCAGAGGUGAAAUUCUUGGAUUUGUUGGAGACGAACUACUGCGAAAGCAUUUGCCAAGGAUGUUUUCAUUAAUCAAGAACGAAAGU
rnacentral:rRNA from 1 species